GAUGUUUACCAGUUAGAAAUUUAAGACUUUCACGAUCUAGCAUCACAGAGUUAUUAUUAAGGUAUUUUAGGUGUCUUAAUCGUGCUCUUUUAAAACAAAAAUUCCGAUUAUUGCGAACAUUACAAUUCACUCCAUCAAAGAUCGAAGGAUACACUGAGAAGUUCAACAGUUUGUGGUAGAACAGUAGACAGUCGGGACCAACGUUCGGGUAACAUCGGACAAGAUCGGGUAACAAUGUAGUAGGCCCAAUAGGGCUUAAAGUUUCAAGCCCCCACUCCGUUAAUUUCGCUGUCUGCAGUUUUGCCCUCAGCACUGUUCAACCGCGCAAUCGCGAGCAUUCGUGAUUAAAAAGUUAUUCAACUUUGAAUUUCUAUUUCCUUUUCUAUUUUUUUAUACGAUUUUAUAAGUAUUUAUGACAAAUAAUACGAAAACUCGACACUUAUACUUUUACGGCUAUUCUCAUUCCCAUCAUUUUUUUCUUUGCCAAAAGAAGAAGGAUAACUUCAUCAUUUAACCUCAAUUUCAAUUAAACAUGCGAUUUAAGUUUUCCUUGCAAACGUUGAUCACGAUUGAUCUAACUUCAUCUAUAGCUGCAACGCUGUUAAAUAUUCGACAACGAUGUGCCAUACGCCACGUGCCCGCAACACGCUCUUGCAAUUAGGCCUAGGAAUCGCUAUUGUGCCGGAGCUUGACCCUUUCAAAUAGAAUCUCGACAAUGGGAAUUCGAGCAAUUUACCAAGAGGAACUGGACCAAUUGUGCCGCGAUCAUGGAAUUGAACAAACUUUGCCAAUAAGAUUCUCCAAAUUGACGUUCAAUUCCAUUUCGCUUUGUUAAUGAAGUUAAACGAACGUCCGUUUUAUUCCGUUUCGUUGUUGAAUCCUUGCGGACGAUCGAUCAUGCCCGAUGCUUACGAAUUAAUCGGAGGAGAGUUGUUUAAUAUGCAUCAAGCGUUUAAUGAAGUAAACAAGGAGGUAUAAAUGAUUGACUAUUUUAAUGUACAUAAGUUGCUUGUUAAUAAAAUAAACAAGAUAAUAUGAAAAAUGAUCAGGAAGAUGGAUAUUAAAGAA